rnacentral:rRNA from 1 species
AUUGAACGCUGGCGGCAGGCCUAACACAUGCAAGUCGAGCGGAAACGAGUUAUCUGAACCUUCGGGGGACGAUAACGGCGUCGAGCGGCGGACGGGUGAGUAAUGCCUAGGAAAUUGCCCUGAUGUGGGGGGAUAACCAUUGGAAACGAUGGCUAAUACCGCAUAAUGCCUACGGGCCAAAGAGGGGGACCUUCGGGCCUCUCGCGUCAGGAUAUGCCUAGGUGGGAUUAGCUAGUUGGUGAGGUAAUGGCUCACCAAGGCGACGAUCCCUAGCUGGUCUGAGAGGAUGAUCAGCCACACUGGAACUGAGACACGGUCCAGACUCCUACGGGAGGCAGCAGUGGGGAAUAUUGCACAAUGGGCGCAAGCCUGAUGCAGCCAUGCCGCGUGUGUGAAGAAGGCCUUUCGGGUUGUAAAGCACUUUCAGUUGUGAGGAAGGCAUAUACGUUAAUAGCGUAUGUGUUUGACGUUUAG